CUGCCCCCUGCUGAGGAGACAACCAGGAAGAGCCCCUGACGUCCUCCACAAAUCCCUCCAGUGAUGGAAAGUCAGGUGAUUCUUCCCAAACCAGAGUGAAGAUGAAGAACAGGCUUCCUCUGCUCCUGGACAAAGCUGCCAUCGCUGUUCUAAAUAAAACUGACAAAGCAUAAAUAAUCAAUAAAGAAUUUAACUUGUAAAAAGUAAUAUUUAAAAGUCUACAGUCCAAUGCAUCUUAUAGUGAGUUAGAGUUUCUGACCUUACCUGUGAUGUAAAUGGAAGGAGAGCGGCUGUACAGGUGAUAAAAGAAAAACUAAAGAGAUGACUACAAGAUUUGCUUUAUAUACUCCUGGUGUCACCUCCCCAUGGCACAACUUCACCUGUGUGUGCGUGCGUGCAUCUGUCACUGUGUUUUUGUUGGUAGAAGGUGUAUCAAGCAGGAUCUGUUUACCUUCCCACUAUGUUUACUACUUCUUCUUUAGUUUCAUUUUCAAAGAAAUAGCAUUCCUUACAGGAAUUUGUAGGAUGGCUGCUCUCUUUGUUUACAUUUUUUAAGUUUAAUUUUGUAUUUUAAUAUUUUGUAUUUCUUUCAAAUGCAUAUGCAUAUAGAUAAUGUCUAAUAUAUGUUUAAUGCCUACCUAUCACAAGCCAUGUCACAUUAUCUCUGCUCCUGAUGAUGUAAUGUAAUUUGGUGCAUAUGAAAAUAAAUUACUUUGACUUGA